rnacentral:rRNA from 1 species
CCUUGAAAUACCACCCUUUAAUGUUUGAUGUUCUAACGUGGACCCGUGAUCCGGGUUGCGGACAGUGUCUGGUGGGUAGUUUGACUGGGGCGGUCUCCUCCUAAAGAGUAACGGAGGAGCACGAAGGUUGGCUAAUCCUGGUCGGACAUCAGGAGGUUAGUGCAAUGGCAUAAGCCAGCUUGACUGCGAGCGUGACGGCGCGAGCAGGUGCGAAAGCAGGUCAUAGUGAUCCGGUGGUUCUGAAUGGAAGGGCCAUCGCUCAACGGAUAAAAGGUACUCCGGGGAUAACAGGCUGAUACCGCCCAAGAGUUCAUAUCGACGGCGGUGUUUGGCACCUCGAUGUCGGCUCAUCACAUCCUGGGGCUGAAGUAGGUCCCAAGGGUAUGGCUGUUCGCCAUUUAAAGUGGUACGCGAGCUGGGUUUAGAACGUCGUGAGACAGUUCGGUCCCUAUCUGCCGUGGGCGCUGGAGAACUGAGGGGGGCUGCUCCUAGUACGAGAGGACCGGAGUGGACGCAUCACUGGUGUUCGGGUUGUCAUGCCAAUGGCACUGCCCGGUAGCUAAAUGCGGAAGAGAUAAGUGCUGAAAGCAUCUAAGCACGAAACUUGCCCCGAGAUGAGUUCUCCCUGAGACUUUAGGUCUCCUGAAGGAACGUUGAAGACGACAACGUUGAUAGGCCGGGUGUGUAAGCGCAGCGAUGCGUUGAGCUAACCGGUACUAAUGAACCGUGAGGCUUAACCUUACAACGCCGAAG